UACGUAGGUGGCAAGCGUUGUCCGGAUUUACUGGGCGUAAAGAGCGCGCAGGCGGUCGUUCAAGUCGCGUGUGAAAGCCCCCGGCUCAACUGGGGAGGGUCACGCGAUACUGAUCGACUCGAAGGCAGGAGAGGGAAGUGGAAUUCCCGGUGUAGUGGUGAAAUGCGUAGAUAUCGGGAAGAACACCCGUGGCGAAGGCGGUUCUCUGGGACGGUACUGACGCUGAGACGCGAAAGCGUGGGGAGCGAACAGG
rnacentral:rRNA from 1 species